rnacentral:rRNA from 1 species
GACAGAGGUGGCAAGCGUUGUCCGGAAUUACUGGGCGUAAAGAGCGCGUAGGUGGCUAGAUAAGUCCGGUGUGAAAUCCUUCGGCUUAACCGGGGAAUGGCAUCGGGGACUGUAUAGCUAGAGGACGGAAGAGGAGAGCGGAAUUCCCGGUGUAGCGGUGAAAUGCGUAGAGAUCGGGAGGAAGGCCGGUGGCGAAGGCGGCUCUCUGGGACGUCCCUGACACUGAGACGCGAAAGCGUGGGGAGCGAACAGG